rnacentral:rRNA from 1 species
CCAAUAGCGUAUAUUAAAGUUGUUGCAGUUAAAAAGCUCGUAGUUGAAUUUCGGGGUCAAUACGUCGGUCGUGCCUCGGUACGUACUAACGUUAUUGAUCCCUCCCUUCUGACGAACCGUGAUGUCAUUAAUUUGGUGUUGCGGGGAAUCAGGACUGUUACCUUGAAAAAAUUAGAGUGUUUAAAGCAGGCAAUCGCUCGAAUACAUUAGCAUGGAAUAAUGAAAUAGGACGUUCGAACCUAUUUUGUUGGUUUCUAGGAUCGACGUAAUGAUUAAUAGGGAUAGUUGGGGGCAUUAGUAUUCAAUUGUCAGAGGUGAAAUUCUUGGAUUUAUUGAAGACUAACUACUGCGAAAGCAUUUGCCAAGGAUGUUUUCAUUAAUCAAGAACGAAAGUUAGGGGAUCGAAGACGAUCAGAUACCGUCGUAGUCUUAACCAUAAACUAUGCCGACUAGGGAUCGGAUGAUGUUAAUUUUAUAAUGACUCAUUCGGCGCCUUACG